rnacentral:rRNA from 1 species
UGCAAGUCGAGCGGAGUGAUGGUGCUUGCACUAUCACUUAGCGGCGGACGGGUGAGUAAUGCUUAGGAAUCUGCCUAUUAGUGGGGGACAACAUUUCGAAAGGAAUGCUAAUACCGCAUACGUCCUACGGGAGAAAGCAGGGGAUCUUCGGACCUUGCGCUAAUAGAUGAGCCUAAGUCGGAUUAGCUAGUUGGUGGGGUAAAGGCCUACCAAGGCGACGAUCUGUAGCGGGUCUGAGAGGAUGAUCCGCCACACUGGGACUGAGACACGGCCCAGACUCCUACGGGAGGCAGCAGUGGGGAAUAUUGGACAAUGGGCGCAAGCCUGAUCCAGCCAUGCCGCGUGUGUGAAGAAGGCCUUAUGGUUGUAAAGCACUUUAAGCGAGGAGGAGGCUACUGAAGUUAAUACCUUCAGAUAGUGGACGUUACUCGCAGAAUAAGCACCGGCUAACUCUGUGCCAGCAGCCGCGGUAAUACAGAGGGUGCAAGCGUUAAUCGGAUUUACUGGGCGUAAAGCGCGCGUAGGCGGCUAAUUAAGUCAAAUGUGAAAUCCCCGAGCUUAACUUGGGAAUUGCAUUCGAUACUGGUUAGCUAGAGUGUGGGAGAGGAUGGUAGAAUUCCAGGUGUAGCGGUGAAAUGCGUAGAGAUCUGGAGGAAUACCGAUGGCGAAGGCAGCCAUCUGGCCUAACACUGACGCUGAGGUGCGAAAGCAUGGGGAGCAAACAGGAUUAGAUACCCUGGUAGUCCAUGCCGUAAACGAUGUCUACUAGCCGUUGGGGCCUUUGAGGCUUUAGUGGCGCAGCUAACGCGAUAAGUAGACCGCCUGGGGAGUACGGUCGCAAGACUAAAACUCAAAUGAAUUGACGGGGGCCCGCACAAGCGGUGGAGCAUGUGGUUUAAUUCGAUGCAACGCGAAGAACCUUACCUGGCCUUGACAUAGUAAGAACUUUCCAGAGAUGGAUUGGUGCCUUCGGGAACUUACAUACAGGUGCUGCAUGGCUGUCGUCAGCUCGUGUCCUGAGAUGUUGGGGUUAAGUCCCGCCAACGAGCGCAA